CGGGGGGGGCAAGCGUUGUUCGGAAUUACUGGGCGUAAGGGCGCGUAGGCGGUUUGCUAAGUUGGAUGUGAAAACUCUGGGCUUAACCCAGAGCCUGCAUCCAAAACUGGCAAGCUGGAGUUUUGGAGGGGGAAGCGGAAUUCCUGGUGUAGCAGUGAAAUGCGUAGAUAUCAGGAGGAACACCGGUGGCGAAGGCGGCUUCCUGGACAAAAACUGACGCUGAGGCGCGAAAGCUAGGGGAGCAAACAGGAUUAGAUACCCUGGUAGUCCUAGCCCUAAACGAUGGAUACUUGCUGUGAGGGGGAUUGAAUCCCUUCGUGGCGAAGCUAACGCAUUAAGUAUCCCGCCUGGGGAGUACGGUCGCAAGGCUG
rnacentral:rRNA from 1 species